AUGAACUGGUUAGUAUUGUUAGAAUAAAUCCUGUUUAUACAUAUCAGUUAAUAACUUUAAAACAACGGUACAUAAAUGAAAUAAGGAUAAAAGAUAUGAAAGUGUGUAUGAUUAUUUAAAGCUACAUUGUAUUUUAACUUCUAUCUUAUUAUUUAUUAUCUGUUUUAAAAGACACUAAGUGAUUUCUAUCAAUGCCGUUUUAGUGACAUAUGUAAUAUAUAUCUAGGGAUCGUAAGAGCCAUGGUACCAAAACCGUUAAGAUUCUUGGUGUCUAUUGUUGUUGUUACAGACAUAAUUGUGUUAGUGGAUGGAAUCCAGUGCUACAACUGUAACUCGCAGUCACAACGUGACGUAUGUGGUGCGGACUUCAAGUUGACGUCUUCGGACACGAUCUUCAUUGUUGACGAUUGUCACUUCUGUAAUAAAUAUCACUUUUCGAACGACGGAGUUUAUAUCCGCAACUGUACCAAGAAAACGCCUGGCAGAAUCCAGUUCAAGUUUGGCUGCGAGGAAGCCAAAGUUAGUGGAACAACGGUAGAGACCUGCUCCUGUUCUGACAAUCUGUGCAAUGGCGCCAUAGUCGAGACUUGCGGCUGUACCUGCUAUCAUACUUGUUUGCCUAUCUAUAUUUUAUAGUCUUGAACCUGAUAUUAAACUAUGAAUAUAAAAAUCCGGUAAAAUACCAGCGAAAAUGACAAUUUAUGUGUUCUACUCUAAACUUAUUAUGACAUUCACAUUAUAUUUUUGAGACCGGACAUUGUGAUAACUUUAAUGAUACCAAUACCUGAUGAAUUUCUAAAUUUAGUCCUUUUUUUUCACUUUCAUCGUGUUAAGUGACCUGUAGAGUUUUCACUUUUCAUUUCAUUUGAAUAAGGUACUAACUGUAAAAUGCAUAGUUCUCGAACAGCAUUUCAUCAGAAACACUCUUUCUAGUGUGUGGUUGCAAAAGCGCCACAUAUGUUCCAAAUUCAUAAAUUAUAACAUUCUAAAUAUAUAACUGACUCACACACGAAAAGCUCAUAAUAUAUAUACUAAUAAACUUUGAUAAUGUGGCAGCUGAACUAAAUCCAAUCGACACUGUUUAUUUUCCAAUACAGGUAAAUCCAAUAUUUGCUUUACAAUAGAUCUAUGACGGAUUAUCUUUGAACAACCCUGGACUUAUGGACUCAACUGCCACAUUAUCAAAGUUUAUUAGUAAUUGCCAGUAACUAUUAAUAUUAUUCAGGUGUUUACUAUGUUGAUAAUUGUACUUGGUGAUUAUUUAUAUGGAGUAAUUAUGGCUCUAG
rnacentral:lncRNA from 1 species